GGGCGCUUAGCUCAGCGGGAGAGCACUACCUUCACACGGUAGGGGUCGCUGGUUCAAUCCCAGCAGCGCCCACCA
rnacentral:tRNA from 1 species